rnacentral:rRNA from 1 species
GAUGAACGCUGGCGGCGUGCCUAAUACAUGCAAGUCGAGCGAACAGACGAGGAGCUUGCUCCUCUGACGUUAGCGGCGGACGGGUGAGUAACACGUGGAUAACCUACCUAUAAGACUGGGAUAACUUCGGGAAACCGGAGCUAAUACCGGAUAAUAUAUUGAACCGCAUGGUUCAAUAGUGAAAGACGGUUUUGCUGUCACUUAUAGAUGGAUCCGCGCCGCAUUAGCUAGUUGGUAAGGUAACGGCUUACCAAGGCAACGAUGCGUAGCCGACCUGAGAGGGUGGUCGGGCGCAGUGGAACAGAGCCACGGUGCAGACAACGCCGGGAGGCAGCAGGCGGGGGUCUUGCGCAAGGUGCGAAAAGCGGAAGGCUCAACGCUGCGGGAAUGAUAAAGGUCUAAGUAACGUAGAACUCUGUGAUUAUACAAGAACAGAAGGGCAAGUAACAAUGCACGUCAGGACGCGAGCUAAUAGGAAAGACAAGCGUAGCUACGGG